GUGAGUAGUUCAGAGUUUGAUCCUGGCUCAGGAUGAACGCUGGCGGCGUGCAUAACACAUUCAAGUCGAACGGACAAGGGGACUUCGGUCCCUGCGUUAGUGGCGGACGGGUGAGUAACGCGUGAGCAACCUGCCCCUGUGUGUGGAAUAACGUUUGGAAACGAACGCUAAUACCGCAUAAUGCACGGGAAUCGCAUGUUUUCCAUGCCAAAGAUUUAUUGCACAGGGAUGGGCUCGCGUCCGAUUAGAUAGUUGGUGAGGUAACGGCCCACCAAGUCGACGAUCGGUAGCCGGACUGAGAGGUUGAACGGCCACAUUGGAACUGAGAAACGGUCCAG
rnacentral:rRNA from 1 species